rnacentral:lncRNA from 1 species
AUUUACCCAAAUAUCAGGCUCCUAACUUUUCCAGAAUCUAAGAUCCAGAACCAUUUACAUAUUGCACACUCUUAAAUACUGCCGAUGGAGUGGUUAAAUCUCAUGAAGAAACUAUACCUAUACCAAAAACAAAAAAAAAA